GAAUAACAGGUCUCUUCUCAAAGCAAUUGAAGAGUCAAGGACUCCUAUCACUGCAUUUUCUGAAAAUAAUGCAUCUUCAACGUGGUGUUUGGAUGGACCUUUUAAGAUCCUACAAAAUUUUCAAGAAAAGAAAAUUUUGGUACUAUUUUUACAAGGUGAAUCACUCGGAAGUACAAAAUCAGAGGAAAUUUUUUGGUACUUCUCAUGGAUUGUAAGAUCUUAAUAAGUUCAUCCAAACACCAUAUUGAGGAUGCAUAGUUUUCAGAAAAUACAAUGAUACAAGUCUUUGAUUCUUCUCUUGGAAGCUCAUUGUCAUCUAUGAA